UGGCGAACGGGUGAGUAACACGUGGGUAAUCUGCCCUGCACUCUGGGAUAAGCCUGGGAAACUGGGUCUAAUACUGGAUAUGACCUUUCUCCUUAUGGGGUUUGGUGGAAAGUUUUUCGGUGUAGGAUGAGCCCGCGGCCUAUCAGCUUGUUGGUGGGGUGAUGGCCUACCAAGGCGACGACGGGUAGCCGGCCUGAGAGGGUGAUCGGCCACAUUGGGACUGAGAUACGACCCAG
rnacentral:rRNA from 1 species